rnacentral:rRNA from 1 species
GACGAACGCUGGCGGCGUGCUUAACACAUGCAAGUCGAACGGAAAGGCCCUGCUUUUGUGGGGUGCUCGAGUGGCGAACGGGUGAGUAACACGUGAGUAACCUGCCCCUGACUUUGGGAUAACUUCAGGAAACUGGGGCUAAUACCGGAUAGGAGCUACUGCUGCAUGGUGGGGGUUGGAAAGUUUCGGCGGUUGGGGAUGGACUCGCGGCUUAUCAGCUUGUUGGUGGGGUAGUGGCGUACCACGGGAUUGAAGGGUAGCCGGCGUGAGAGGGUGACCGGCGACAUGGGAACUGAGAUACGCCCCAGAAGCGAACGGUAGGCAGCGGUGGGGAACAUUGCGCAAUGGGCCGAAGCCUGUUGCGGCAACGCCGCGUGCGGGAAGACGGCCUUCGGGUGGAAAACCGCUUUCGCCUGUACCGAGGCGUUAGUGACGGUAAUGGGUAAAGAAGCACCGGCUAACUACGUG